GAUGAACGCUGGCGGAAUGCUUUACACAUGCAAGUCGAACGGCAGCACGGACUUCGGUCUGGUGGCGAGUGGCGAACGGGUGAGUAAUGUAUCGGAACGUGCCCAGUCGUGGGGGAUAACGUAGUGAAAAUUACGCUAAUACCGCAUACGAUCUAUGGAUGAAAGCGGGGGAUCGCAAGACCUCGCGCGAUUGGAGCGGCCGAUAUCAGAUUAGGUAGUUGGUGGGGUAAAGGCCCACCAAGCCAACGAUCUGUAGCUGGUCUGAGAGGACGACCAGCCACACUGGGACUGAGACCGGGUCCAGACUCCUACGGGAGGCAGCAGUGGGGAAUUUUGGACAAUGGGCGAAAGCCUGAUCCAGCCAUUCCGCGUGCAGGAUGAAGGCCCUCGGGUUGUAAACUGCUUUUGUACAGAACGAAAAGGUUUCUACUAAUACUAGGAGCUCAUGACGGUACUGUAAGAAUAAGCACCGGCUAACUACGUGCCAGCCGCCGCCGUAA
rnacentral:rRNA from 1 species